rnacentral:rRNA from 1 species
CAUGAAGCCGGAAUUGCUAGUAAUGGCAGGUCAGCAUACUGCCGUGAAUACGUUCCCGGGCCUUGUACACACCGCCCGUCACACCAUGAGAGUUGGGAAUACCCGAAGCCUGUGAGCUAACGUUAAGAGGCAGCAGUCGAAGGUAGAAUCAAUGGAUUGGGGUGAAGUCGUAACAAGGUAAC